GUGCCAGCCGCCGCGGUAAUACAGAGGGCGCGAGCGUUGUCCGGAAUCACUGGGCGUAAAGGGCGCGUAGGUGGCCACUAUAAGGCCGCGGUGAAAGUUCGGGGCUCAACCCCGAAUCUGCCGCGGCGACUGUAGGGCUUGGGCACUGUAGAGGCAGAUGGAAUUCCGGGUGUAGCGGUGGAAUGCGUAGAGAUCCGGAAGAACACCGGUGGCGAAGGCGGUCUGCUGGGCAGUGGGAGCGCAAGCUCCUCUUAGCCGACACUGAGGCGCGACAGCGUGGGGAGCAAACAGGAUUAGAAACCCCUGUAGUCC
rnacentral:rRNA from 1 species